rnacentral:tRNA from 1 species
GGGCCAGUAGCUCAGUCGGUUAGAGCACUUCUCUGAUAAGGAAGGGGUCGGAAGUUCGAGUCUUCCCUGGCCCACCA